rnacentral:rRNA from 1 species
GGGAGGCAGCAGGCGCGAAAAUUACCCAAUGCAGACACUGCGAGGUGGUGACGAGACAUACAGGGUCACUUGCCAUAAGCAUGUGACACCUGAAUGAGCAGAACACAAAAUAUUUGUUGAGUAACAACUGGAGGGCAAGUCUAGUGCCAG